AUGGAGGCUUGGGCAGAGACGUGACCCAGCGUCAGAAAGUCGGGGGAGGCUUUCCUUCCUGUGUCCCAGAGCUUCACCGGUGCAGCCAGCCGGGGGCGGGGGCGGGGGCGCUGGAGGUGGAGGGUGGGGUCUGACAACUUCUGCUGGGGCAGCCUCGGGAGGGGAGGGGAGCAGGCACUGGGCAGGGGCCUAAGUGCACUUUGUCCUUGCCACCAAUGGCGGGAGGAGGGUGGACCUGAACACCUCUAGCAGGGUGUUGCGCGCCUGCCCCAGCCUCUCAGGUACUUGGCCCUUGGGGAGGAGAGAGGGGGGUCUGGUUUUUGCUGGGGGUGAGUUUCCGGGACACUCCCAAAGCCCACAGAUAAUCCCUGGUGUGGGAAGAGGAGUCCUGGAUACCUUGAUGUUUAGCACUUUAACCCCCUUUGUCUUUAAGGUAGGCGUGGGGGCUACUGUCAGAAGUGGCUGUUGGGUCGGACCCCUCCUUUCUGCCCUCCCUCUCCCACAUGCUGGUCUGCAGAGCCCUCCUCCCAAGGGGUAGGGCCCUGGGUGGAGCUCAGCAGGGUCUGCCCACUCCCUAUGCUGGCCCACAUAGGCCUCCAGGAGCCCUCAGUGAGAGGGACCAGCAUAGCAGACCCCUAGAGUGUGGUGGGCGUCGGCCCUGCCCGGGACGCAGUCGGUGCCCUUUCCGCAGCUCUACCUCUGGCUCAGCGCACGCCCCCUGCCCUGAGAACAGGAAAGGGCCCGGAAGGGCUGACUCACCGGGCCGACACUCACGAAAAUGGGAUGCACUUUAUUUGCUGGUGCAAAGGCAAGAGAGGGUGCCUCCUGUGUGACCGUUGACCCUCCUGCCUGGUGGCGCUGAAGGGAAGGAGCCAGUGAGGCUGACCCCGGGAGGGGCCGUCCCCGUGUGCCCUGUUUGGCGGGCCCCAGGCGGCUCCCCCAGGCCCGGGUCUGGGGCCCCAGGUUCUCCCCUGCCUGGCGGCCGCGCGUCCUGUGCUUUGGGUUUCUUGGUUUGGGUUUUUUAAUGCCAGUUCUCAGUACAUAAGUGCAUUUUGAAAGAGGUUCCAGCUAUCACUUGUAACCAUAUAUAUAUACAUAUAUAUUCUAUCUACAAAGUGUUUAUUUGCGAGAUGUUUCGACGGUGAGUUCGGGCCCCGCCCGCCUUGUGACCAUCUGUCCCCGGUCUUCGUCCCCGCCCCGCGCCCUGGUCCCGAGUGGCGUGGGGACGGGCCAUCACUGUAUGUAUUAAAAUGACUGUAUCAAAUAAAUGUUUAUCGAUUUUUUUCCAGGG